CGGCCGCCUCUGCUGCCCUCCGGAGCGCGGCGCGCACAGAUCGCUGUCCGGGGCAGCAGCGCUUUUGCUGUCGCUGCCUCCGCCCUGGCGGAGCGGACCUGGGCAGCUGAAAGCGGUCUUCUUAGUCAGGCGUGGUAGCCUGGAUCUCCUGCGCGCAGCUCACGGACAGCUUUGAAGCUGCUGAACCGGACAGGGCUCCGAGGUCCUGCCCGGCAGCUCCGGCAAGCGGGUGGGUGAGCGGGCACGCUGAUCACCCCUUGUCUUUCCGCUGGAGUUGAAUCUGUGCUGCCCGUGUUCAGGUGCUGGGCUUCCGGACCGACACCGACGCCCCAUUCCCGCCCGCAGCCGCCUUGUCAUGCUGCCCAAAGUGGAGACGGAAGCCUCAGGACUGGUCCGAUCGCAUGGGGAACAGGGGCAGAUGCCGGAAAACAUGCAAGUGUCUCAAUUUAAAAUGGUGAAUUACUCCUAUGAUGAAGAUCUGGAAGAGCUGUGUCCUGUGUGUGGCGAUAAAGUAUCUGGGUAUCAUUACGGUCUCCUCACCUGUGAAAGCUGC
rnacentral:lncRNA from 1 species